AUACGGAGGAUGCGAGCGUUAUCCGGAUUUAUUGGGUUUAAAGGGUGCGCAGGCGGGAUUUUAAGUCAGCGGUGAAAUUUUCAGGCUCAACCUGAACACUGCCGUUGAAACUGGGAUUCUUGAGUAUGGAUGAAGUAGGCGGAAUUCGUUGUGUAGCGGUGACAUGCUUAGAUAUAACGAGGAACUCCGAUUGCGUAGGCAGCUUACUAAGCCAUAACUGACGCUCAAGCACGAAAGCGUGGGGAUC
rnacentral:rRNA from 1 species